UAUGAUUAGAGAGAGGGAAGCUUUGCCAACCGCCAUUAAACAAAAGGACUUGUCCAGGUUGUACACCACCUUCAGUCCAAAUGCAGCUGAAAUAGGCUCGAGCAACACCAAAAAAGGGACAAGCGGUAGAAGAUGGAUGGAUAGAUGGCAUUAAACAAAAUAAAGACAAGAAGAAGAAGAGAGGGAAGCAUUUGUUUUUGUAAAGGACUUUUUUAAGGAGAAACACGUUUGUUCGGCGGGACGCCGCGAACAACAAUGAUGUGCUGGCAAUAGACUUGUGCUAACUGACUGAGGGGGGGUCUUAAAUGGUGACAUUGUUGUGUGUGGACACGGACAAGGUUAGGUGGGACUUACCCUGGAUAACCUUCGUGUAGAAGUGGCCUGAAGCUAACCAGCUGUCACUCAAACAUGCCGGGCGAGGCUAUUCAGCUAAUGAGUGACUUUUUUCGUACACCAUCUAGUGGCGAUGUUAACACGCCAUGUCGGGCUGGACUUAGGCCAUUUGGAAAGUGUUCGGGCCACAUUGCAGGACUUUGAGGCCGCGUCGCCAACCGGACUGCAUCGGCCACAGCUGCGUCGAUGCCACAAACCGUAUGCCGAGGGUGGCGUCCCGCUGCUAUUUAUUUCAGUGGUAUUACAUCAGAGUCUACCUUUUCUCCUCACUUGCCAUGAGUGGACUCCCAUAGAUACCCUCUGACACACAACACUUUCCAUACAGUAGGCCUUGCAGGUUAGGGCCAUGCUGGUGAUGAGCAAACACAGAGUACAGAAUGAUGUCAGUGUGCUGGCUAGGUUGCCAGCCCUCUGACAUAUCAGACGGCGAGGAAUCUGUCAAGGCAACAUCUCUCAUGCACCGUGGAGUUGUCAGCGAGAGGGCGGGACUAUGUGAUGCACCUGGGGAAACCGCGGAGUUUCGAAGCCUGCCGGCGAAAAUUGUGGUGCGAGCACGGGAAAAAGAUAGAAGAAGCCCGUGACAGCGCAAACACAUUUAUUUGGCCCCUCACGUAGCACCCGCUGGAACUCGCCAAUCAAUAAUUGAACAGACCAAGGAUAAUAGCGAUGACACGCGCUCUGCUCGUUGAGCGCCAUGAUGGAAACAUGUUUACUGGCAAAAUAAAUUGUGGCGGGUUGCUCACCUGUCUCCACGCUGAGGAAUAAAUGAAGAGUAAUG